AGAGUUUGAUCAUGGCUCAGGACGAACGCUGGCGGCGUGCCUAACACAUGCAAGUCGAACGGAGUUCAUUGGAUUGAGGCUUCGGCCAAAUGAGUUUGAACUUAGUGGCGAACGGGUGAGUAACGCGUGAGCAACCUGCCUUUCAGAGGGGGACAACAGUUGGAAACGACUGCUAAUACCGCAUAACACAUCGAGAGGGCAUCCUCUUGAUGUCAAAGAUUUAUCGCUGAAAGAUGGGCUCGCGUCUGAUUAGAUAGUUGGUGGGGUAACGGCCCACCAAGUCGACGAUCAGUAGCCGGACUGAGAGGUUGAACGGCCACAUUGGGACUGAGAUACGGCCCAGACUCCUACGGGAGGCAGCAGUGGGGAAUAUUGGGCAAUGGGGGAAACCCUGACCCAGCAACGCCGCGUGAAGGAAGAAGGCUUUCGGGUUGUAAACUUCUUUUACCAGGGACGAAGACGUGACGGUACCUGGAGAAAAAGCCACGGCUAACUACGUGCCAGCAGCCGCGGUAAU
rnacentral:rRNA from 1 species